ensembl:lncRNA
CUCACUCAGUGCUUUCUUUUGUGAGCUGCUGAUCUAAUGUACCACAUAGAGGAUUAUAUUUAUUCUAUGAAAACGUAAUAUCAAUUUUAAUGUGGCAUCGCGUGGGCCUCAGGAAUACAAUCUCUGACAGAAACCACUCCCAACAGGGCCUGCAGUAUUAAUGAUCUGCGGUUAUAGUUGUAUAGAUCUACUUCAACGACACAACCCUAGGCUCAUGAAAAAGUACAUCUUUGGUUUGGAGUGGAAACGCACUUAAAUGACAAAAGCGAGGAGUAGAGAGUCCAUUUUGGAAGAUUCCCAGGCUUGGAUCUGGGUUCAUACUCGGUGCAAGUGAAUGAAUGGAUGGCUGUGGCCUGGCAUCAACGGUCCUGCUGCUUUAUAGGAGCUGACAGAGGCCAUCUGAGCUACUUGGCUUUUAAUCACUCCCCUUUCUCCAGGCCACUGGAAAUCAGCUUAGCAUAUGGCUCUCAGACAAAGCCAGAGAGAGGGGGCAUCGCAUAGCAUGAUCUUAAAUGACACCCUGGCUUAUUUUGUAUGAUGCAGAGUGUGUCUUGUGAAAAAGUGUUUGUUGUAUUUCACUUAAUUUGUGCAUUGUAAGUAAAAAAAAAGUGACUAAUUUUAUUCAAUUGCCAAAGCCUCACUGCCUUUCUGACUAUGUAUCACCGCUAUACUGACUGAGGCAUUAUAUUUUGCCUAAAUUAUUAGUUGAUGUUGAAGAGGAAGGAAAUGCCACACUAUAGAUAUCAGCUACUGUUCCGGACUGAAGCAAAGCAGACCUAGUCAACCCAGACAUUGCUUAUUGACUUAUGACACAAUCAAGUGGGACCUCUUAUGACAUGAAAGGGAUUUAUGUGUUAACAAAGAACUCCCACAGUGAAAUGUUCCAUUUAUAGAUAUCUACCUACGUCAGACGAUGUGGAAAUGUAUAAAUCCUAUAAGGGGUCUGUGUCAGAUCUGCAUGUUGUUGACCAGUACAUGAUGGAGAUACAGUGUGAAAGUAUCCCAUGCGGUUGAUGAUGGGCAGAAGAGAUGACAGGUGCUCCAGGGAGCAGGAUCAGCCAGCCAUGUCCUUCUGGAGGUCUGACACCACGCAUAGGGUUAUGUUAGGA